AUUGAACGCUGGCGGCAGGCCUAACACAUGCAAGUCGAGCGAGCGGCGGACGGGUGAGUAAUGUCUGGGAAUCUGCCCGAUAGAGGGGGAUAACUACUGGAAACGGUGGCUAAUACCGCAUACUAUCGGAUGAACCCAUAUGGGAUUAGCUAGUAGGUGGGGUAAAGGCUCACCUAGGCGACGAUCUCUAGCUGGUCUGAGAGGAUGAUCAGCCACACUGGGACUGAGACACGGCCCAGACGCCUACGGGAGGCAGCAGGGGGGAAUAUUGCACAAUGGGCGAAAGCCUGAUGCAGCCAUGCCGCGUGUAUGAAGAAGGCCUUAGGGUUGUAAAGUACGUUCAGCGGGGAGGCGUUACCCGCAGAAGAAGCACCGGCUAACUCCGUGCCAGCAGCCGCGGUAAUUC
rnacentral:rRNA from 1 species